rnacentral:ncRNA from 2 species
GGACGAGCCCUUGGAGAGUACUGGUAAACAGUCACCGAAGGAGCAAAAUAGCUAUUGCUAUUGAAUCUCUCAGGUAAAAGGACAGGGGAUUAAGU